AUUGAACGCUGGCGGCAGGCCUAACACAUGCAAGUCGAACGAGUGGCGGACGGGUGAGUAAUGUCUGGGAAACUGCCUGAUGGAGGGGGAUAACUACUGGAAACGGUAGCUAAUACCGCAUACCAUCGGAUGUGCCCAGAUGGGAUUCGCUAGUAGGUGGGGUAACGGCUCACCUAGGCGACGAUCCCUCGCUGGUCUGCGAGGAUGACCAGAAAAACUGGAACGGAGACACGGUCCAGACUCCGACGGGAGGCAGCAGUGGGGAAUAUUGCACAAUGGGCGCAAGCCUGAUGCAGCCAUGCCGCGUGUAUGAAGAAGGCCUUCGGGUUGUAAAGUACUGUCAGCGGGGAGGCGUUACCCGCAGAAGAAGCACCGGCUAACUCCGUGCCAGCCGCCGCGGUAAUUC
rnacentral:rRNA from 1 species